AGACCCUCUGUUAUAUUAGAGAAGCAGGCAGGUGAUUGCAGCUUUUAAGACUUUUGCAUCAUAGGCUGAAAUGCCACAGCAGCACAACUCAGAGGAAAGAUGGAAAAGUUGAUGAUGAAUGGAGCACAGGCGGAGAAGUAUUGAAUUGCAGCAGCAUUCUUCGAGGAAAACUGCAGGCCACAGAAGAAGCCCUCCUGCUGUGCAAACUGGUCCCGGCCUGGGAGACGUGGAGUCCACGCCUGUGCUGAAGUAAAUCUCAGUAAAUCAUUGCAUGAAUUAUUCGUGACACUGAGCUUCAUCCACAAGUGCUGAAGCGUCUCCAGCGCGAGCUGUGAUCAGGAGACUCAAGUAAUGUCUUCAUGACCCGAUUUUAAAAGGCGAGGAUUAUUCACCAACUCAUCAGUGUCAUCCCAGAGUCACCAUGUCCAGUGUUCCACAAAAACCCAGGAACGUCUAUCUGAAAAGGUCAAAUGGCGCCAAUUGAGUUCAACACCGUGCUGUGUCAGUAGGUUAACUGUGUCCCUAUGUGUUCUAUCUAUCACACCUGCCAAUCAGAGGGACAUCAAUCAACACCGACCGGUGUCAAGUGGCGUGGAGCAGAGAAAGUGCUCAUCCCUCUGACCAUCCAUCACUCUGACUGUAAACUGUCACCCAGUGUCAGACAUAUACAGUGUUUUUUCUGUCUUAACCACACAAAGUGGUCGGUUGUGGAAGAUGCUGCUCAGAUGGAUUGAGCUCCGUUUGUCCCCAUCAUGGCUGCAUAUACCCUCUCUGUCUUUACUCUCCCUGUCCCGUCCAGGUAAAGUGGAGAAUUGGCUUCAGGUGAUUUGGAGAAGAUCUUAUCUUCUGUUAACAGAGGAAUGACACCAUAAUGGAGCAGCAGGGGUGCAAUUACCUCUCAGGUAAGAAGGCUGCUUCGGUGUUUGGCCCCAGAAGUUGGCGAUGUGAGAGGUUUUAAUGGAGAGGGUCCUCGUGGCUGAAUAUGUGCCCCUCUGCCCCGCAGCCGGAGGUGUCUGUUUCACAGGCCUCUGUAAUGCGGGACCAGGGAGGAUAAGGUUUCACAGGUCCCUUGAAGUGUGAGACUUGAAGGAAGAGUGGUUCUUUUGAAGGCAACUAGAAGGCGUUUCGGGGCUGAGAGGUGCUGGAAAGGGCAUGUCCAAACAGACUUUAAGCCCUGAGUGAUGGGACACGGGAAGCGGUAACAGGACACCUCGCCCCUGCUCUCAUGUCAACACAGUCAUGUGAAUCACAACUGUGGGAG